rnacentral:rRNA from 1 species
CAGUCGCCGCGGGAAUACGUAGGGCGCAAGCGUUGUCCGGAAUUAUUGGGCGUAAAGAGCUCGUAGGCGGUCUGUCGCGUCUGGUGUGAAAUCCCGAGGCUCAACCUCGGGCUUGCAUCGGGUACGGGCAGACUAGAGUGCGGUAGGGGAGACUGGAAUUCCUGGUGUAGCGGUGGAAUGCGCAGAUAUCAGGAGGAACACCGAUGGCGAAGGCAGGUCUCUGGGCCGCAACUGACGCUGAGGAGCGAAAGCAUGGGGAGCGAACAGGAUUAGAUACCCGCGUAGUCCCUGUCUCUUAUAA